AGAGGCCUUAAAUGGACAUUUCUGCGAGGAAGAAAUUGUGCGUGCUUAGAUAUCUCUGUCUUUGGAGGGUUUGGAGGGUCAAGACACCAUCAAAUUUGUGUUUCACAAGCUUGAACUUGAACAAAUUUGUGUUUCACAACAGGGUUGAUGGGAUCUGGACUCUCUCUGCUAUGGGGUCAGCCCUCCUGGAGUCCACCCCAGCUUGAGCACUGGAAGCCUGCCCUGGAUUGGACAGGACCCCUGCAUUUCUCCCGCUGGCACUCACCCUCCGCCGAUCAAAUUAUAUCCUCAGCUUCCUCAGCAGUACAAUCUUCAGAGGACUGUGGAGAGGAUUAAACUGUUAUUACUGUACAUGAGAAGUGCUUACAUCAGUGCCUGCUCACAAUUUACAGUUCCCAAUUGUCUACUGUACCUGCAAACUCCCCAUCCUUCGGUUCCAGAUCUAGUGUGUCUCCUGCAGCUUCUGUCUAAACUAAGGAUUGCCCUUUUGGUCCCUAUUCCAGCCCUUCCCCUCUGGGAAAUGAUGUAUGCCUUCCAGAACUUCUAACUUUACCACACCCUGAUGGUGAGCUGGGCACUGACUGUGUGGCUGGCAUUGUUCUUAAUUACCACGUUCCGGGUCUUCACACAGAUGGGCUUAUUUGAUCCUCACUGUGUUCCUAUGAGGAUGGUGUAAUUUUGAUCUCUAUUUCUUUAAAAAAUAGAGAUGGGGUCUAGCUAUGCUGCCCAGGCUGGUCUCCAACUCCUGAGCUCAAGCAAUUCUCCCCACCUCAGCCUCCCAAAGUGUUGAGAUUACAGGCAUGAGCCAUCGUGCCUGGCUUAUCAUCCCCAUUUAAAAGACAGAAAAUCUGAGGCACAAGGAGGUUAAACAACUUGCCUGAGAUCCCAGUUAGAAAGCGGGAAGUUUGAACUCAAGUACUGUGACUCUAAGCCCCAGCUCCCAACCACACCAUUUUAUUGCCGUCGUAACUCUAAUGUUUAGAAUCUACUGGAUACUCA
rnacentral:lncRNA from 1 species